rnacentral:sRNA from 1 species
AUAUAUCACUCGUAUACUGUGGUUCCUCUGCGCCGCCGGCACUCACCUGGCAACUGCUCGCUACUUUUUGUUAGCG